GUGUCAGCCGCCGCGGUAAUACGUAGGGUGCAAGCGUUAAUCGGAAUUACUGGGCGUAAAGCGUGCGCAGGCGGUUUUGUAAGACAGGUGUGAAAUCCCCGAGCUCAACUUGGGAACUGCACUUGUGACUGCAAGACUAGAAUAUGUCAGAGGGAGGUAGAAUUCCACGUGUAGCAGUGAAAUGCGUAGAGAUGUGGAGGAAUACCAGUGGCGAAGGCGGCCUCCUGGGAUAAUAUUGACGCUCAUGUACGAAAGCGUGGGGAGCAAACAGGAUUAGAUACCCUGGUAGUCCACGCCCUAAACGAUGUCAACUGGUUGUUGGGGAUUCAUUUCCUUAGUAACGAAGCUAACGCGUGAAGUUGACCGCCUGGGGAGUACGGUCGCAAGAUUAAAACUCAAAUAAAUUGACGG
rnacentral:rRNA from 1 species